AUUGAACGCUGGCGGCAUGCUUUACACAUGCAAGUCGAACGGUAACAGGCCUUCGGGUGCUGACGAGUGGCGAACGGGUGAGUAAUGCAUCGGAACGUGCCCAGAGGUGGGGGAUAACGCAGCGAAAGCUGUGCUAAUACCGCAUGUGAUCUGAGGAUGAAAGCGGGGGACCAGGCAGCAAUGUUUGGCCUCGCGCCUUUGGAGCGGCCGAUGUCAGAUUAGGUAGUUGGUGGGGUAAAGGCCUACCAAGCCGACGAUCUGUAGCUGGUCUGAGAGGACGACCAGCCACACUGGGACUGAGACACGGCCCAGACUCCUACGGGAGGCAGCAGUGGGGAAUUUUGGACAAUGGGCGCAAGCCUGAUCCAGCAAUGCCGCGUGCGGGAAGAAGGCCUUCGGGUUGUAAAACGCUUUUGUACGGAACGAAAAGGCUCUGGCUAAUACCUGGGGCUGAUGACGGUACCGUAAGAAUAAGCACCGGCUAACUACGUG
rnacentral:rRNA from 1 species